rnacentral:tRNA from 4 species
GGCGGAUGUAGCCAAGUGGAUCAAGGCGGUGGAUUGUGA